rnacentral:rRNA from 1 species
AGCGAACGCUAGCGGCGGGCCUAACACAUGCAAGUCGAGCGGAGGGGCAACCCUCAGCGGCGAACGGGUGAGUAACACGUAGGUAAUGUACCCUCUGGUGGGGAAUAACCGUGGGAAACCAUGGCUAAUACCGCAUAUGUCUUUCGAGAUGAAAGCAGCAAUGCGCCAGAGGAGCAGCCUGCGGCCGAUUAUUUAGUCCUAGUUGGUGAGGUAAUGGCUCACCAAGGGUACGAUCGGUAGCUGGUCUGAGAGGAUGAUCAGCCACACUGGAACUGAGACACGGUCCAGACUCCUACGGGAGGCAGCAGUGGGGAAUAUUGCGCAAUGGGCGAAAGCCUGACACAGCCACGCCGCGUGAGUGAUGAAGGCCUCGG